GCACCUCAUCAAACCUAAGAGAAGAAAGACAGGAGCAGGGAAGACCACACAUGUCACAUGGGGCUAAGACCUGAAGUGUCACAGAACCCUGCAUGUGAGGCUGAAAAAAAAGCCUGUGCAUUUGAAGGCAGAGGCAGAAAACUGAUUUGGGUAAAGUCCAGAGACAGGAGGCACCUGUUGGCCUCUUGACUCCAGUGGUCAGCAAGAAUGCCAUUUCAAGAAGCAGGAGCAGACAUGAUACCAGAAAACCUUCAUACCUGAGAAGAUGCUGGAGAAUUGAAACAGACUGUGGCUCUUGUAAACAAGCCGUGUUGAAGUCAUUCAGAGACAGAGUCUCACUGUACCGCCCUGGAUAGAGUGCCGUGGCAUCACACGGCUCACAGCAACCUCUAACUCUUGAGCUUACCCGAUUCUCUUGCCUCAGCCUCCCGAGCAGCUGGGACUAUAGGCACCUGCCACAACGCCUGGCUAUUUUUUUUGUUGGAGUUUGGCCGGGGUUGGGUUUGAACCCACCACCCUCGGCAUAUGGGGAUGGCGCCCUACUCACUGAGCCACAGGCGCUGCCCAAUAAAUAUUUUUUAUAAAAAAGAGGUCCACUGUACUUUAACCAGAUUUGAAUAGGUAUUGGAGAAGCCCAGAAAACAGGGCCUUUGGUAUUAGAAUCACACCAGCCAACUGACUAAGCCUAGAGAAGGACCCACAGCAAGAUGUUUCCCUGCAGCUCU